CACGCACCCUUUGACUGCGAGGGGCCGCGCCUCGGGCGCGCUGCCACUUGUUGAACCGACUUUGGGUGUCGCCUUUGCGAGCUGUUGUCGUUCCGGUGCCGAGACGCGCGGCUCCAGCGGUUCUUGGGGCUCAUGUGUCUUGUCAUCUUGCAGCGAGAAACAGGAAGUUUGAUGUGAUAAGCUGUGCCCUGACGAAGCCCCAAAGGUGGGCCCACACGACGAGGGGAGGCCGGACCCCCCAACAACCUGUGGAAGGUGAUUGGAAGUCGAUUCCGAAGCUGCGUUCUCUGCAUAGACGAGAGGUUUGAGUCGUAAGACUUCCUGUCGGUGGAGAAAGGUGUUCCCUGUGCAGGGUGCUCUGACUGUGUUCUGUAGGCACACCACCUUCCCCUCUGAGGUGGGAUUGAGCACGCUGCUGAAGGCUUCGUCCUCCGGUGCCUGUGUCUCCAGGUUGCUGGGGUUUUCCUGUCUGUGUGGCCUCUGUCUACGGCUUCCUGGGCUGGUGGCCCUUGGCAGCUGCUCAUAGGCAGCAGGGCCACCAGGGAGGGGUGAGGCUGUGUGUGGCGGUGGGGUGACCAGCUGCAUGCAGACUCGGGGACUCUCCCUGUUGGUCUCUGUGGGGAGCUGGGUCCCUGGUGAGGCCAGUGCCCCUCCCUGCAUCACCGCCUGCUGGGCCUGCUGCAGACCUGCAUCACCGCCCGCUGGGCCUGCUGCAGACCUGCAUCCCCCUUUCCUCUCCUGGGAGGAAGCCCCGCCUUGAGUUGAGGGCGGGGCCCUGGCCUGGCUGGCUGGAGCUGGGGAGGGGUGUUUAGCUGCUGCGCCCAGUGGCUGGCGGUCAGCAGCCAAGUGGGUCCAGGUGGUCCCUGGGGCGUCCCCACUGCUGGCUGAAGGUCCGCUUCCCAGUGGCUUUCUAGCUUCCGAGGUAUCACAGGGCCUCCUCCCCGCUGUUUGGAGCAGGGGUCGGGAAGACCUCCCGUGUUGGUUCUCACCUGCGCCUAUCAGCCAGACCCCUGCUUUCGUUCCAUUUUCCAGGAGAGGACUCUAGUGGCAGUUUUAAAGCGGGAGAGCCUUUGUCAGGUAGGAAGACCAGGAACACUUGCACGCGUGGAGCCGGCAGGUGAGUGUAGCCUUGGCCGGGUGGUUUUGCGCGUAGUCACGUGUGACAAUUUCCCUUUAGCAAAAACCAGACAUGAAGCUCUGAGGAGCCCUUGGGAAUGGAUCACUGAUUUUUAAAACAAACGCAGCCUGGCGGGUUGGCUCGGACCUCGCAACAGCCUGGGCCUCCUGAAGCCCGAUGUUGCAGAACCCUAGGGCCUGCUGGUGUGGACAGAGAACACAGGCCCUGGACCAUGGUCACCCUCAUCACUGAGAAGCUGCAGAACCAGAGCCUGGACGACCUCACCCACAAGAGCUACGAUGCUGGCCCGUGUUCUGCCGAGAAUGUGAGCUCAACUGGCUGCUUGUUCCCUUUUGAGACCAACAAAGACAAGCACCCCUGGAAGGUCGUCAGCAGAGGACCGCCCGUCGGAAGCCAGGCGGCCGCGGGCCCC